GGGGCCGAUCGGUUUCGACUCCGUACGCUGAUGUAAGGGAAGCGGGUCGAGGAAGCCAGCGUCGUCUCGUUAAUCGUCGCUGGAAAACACAAAUGCGAAGACUGAAUCUCGCAGUUCCUUCGCUCUCGCUGCCUAAGCGAUAGCAGAAGGAUUGUCGGUCCGGGAGCGCGUCCGUCCCGGUCACCGGCAUUAUUUAGGACGCUUGGCGCUGAGUGGGGCCACCGGGCUCAGCGCGACACCAACGGUGGAUGGAGCCCGUCACUUCGACUUGUUCGCGUGAUCGAAGGGGCUUGAGGAAAGGCACAGCGAACUGCACCCGGAGAAGCCUUACUGAACCGGCGGAGGACCUGGGUUCGAUUCCCAGCGGCUCCACGA
rfam:Stackebrandtia nassauensis DSM 44728, complete genome.